ACGGAGGGUGCGAGCGUUAUCCGGAAUUACUGGGUUUAAAGGGUGCGUAGGCGGCUUGGUAAGUCAGAAGUGAAAGUUUGCGGCUCAACCGUAAAAUUGCUUUUGAUACUGCCGGGCUGGAAUCAGGAUGAGGUCAGCGGAAUGUGGCAUGUAGCGGUGAAAUGCAUAGAUAUGCCAUAGAACACCAAUUGCGAAGGCAGCUGGCUAGACCUGUAUUGACGCUGAGGCACGAAAGCGUGGGGAGCGAACAGGA
rnacentral:rRNA from 1 species